CUUAACACAUGCAGGUCGGACGGACACCUUCGGGUGUCAGUGGCGGACGGGUGAGUAACACGUAGGAAUCUACCCUCAGGCGGGGGAUAACAGCUGGAAACGGCUGCUAAUACCCCAUACAGGCGGAAGCUGAAAGGAGCAAUCCANNNNAGGAUGAGCCUGCGUCGGAUUAGCUAGGUGGUGGGGUAACGGCCUACCAAGGCGACGAUCCGUNGCGGGUCUGAGAGGAUGGCCCGCCACACUGGGGCUGAGACACGGCCCAGACUCCUACGGGAGGCAGCAGUGGGGAAUUUUCCGCAAUGGGCGCAAGCCUGACGGAGCAAUACCGCGUGAGGGAGGAAGGCCCUUGGGUUGUAAACCUCUUUUCUGGGGGACGAAAGCUGACGGUACCCCAGGAAUAAGCCUCGGCUAACUCCGUGCCAGCAGCC
rnacentral:rRNA from 1 species